AGAGUUUGAUCAUGGCACAGGACGAACGCUGGCGGCACGCUUAACACAUGCAAGUCGAACGAGAGAAGAGGAGCUUGCUUUUCUGAUCUAGUGGCGGACGGGUGAGUAACACGUGAGCAAUCUGCCUUUCAGAGGGGGAUACCGAUUGGAAACGAUCGUUAAUACCGCAUAACAUAAUUGAACCGCAUGAUUUGAUUAUCAAAGAUUUAUCGCUGAAAGAUGAGCUCGCGUCUGAUUAGCUAGUUGGUAAGGUAACGGCUUACCAAGGCGACGAUCAGUAGCCGGACUGAGAGGUUGAUCGGCCACAUUGGGACUGAGACACGGCCCAGACUCCUACGGGAGGCAGCAGUGGGGAAUAUUGCACAAUGGAGGAAACUCUGAUGCAGCGAUGCCGCGUGAGGGAAGGAGGUUUUAGGAUUGUAAACCUCUGUCUUCAGGGACGAAAAAAGACGGUACCUGAGGAGGAAGCUCCGGCUAACUACGUGCCAGCAGCCGCGGUAAUACGUAGGGAGCGAGCGUUGUCCGGAAUUACUGGGUGUAAAGGGAGCGUAGGCGGGAUCGCAAGUCAGAUGUGAAAACUAUGGGCUUAACCCAUAAAUUGCAUUUGAAACUGUGGUUCUUGAGUGAAGUAGAGGUAAGCGGAAUUCCUAGUGUAGCGGUGAAAUGCGUAGAUAUUAGGAGGAACAUCAGUGGCGAAGGCGGCUUACUGGGCUUUAACUGACGCUGAGGCUCGAAAGCGUGGGGAGCAAACAGGAUUAGAUACCCUGGUAGUCCACGCCGUAAACGAUGAUUACUAGGUGUGGGGGGACUGACCCCUUCCGUGCCGCAGCAAACGCAAUAAGUAAUCCACCUGGGGAGUACGACCGCAAGGUUGAAACUCAAAGGAAUUGACGGGGGCCCGCACAAGCAGUGGAGUAUGUGGAUUAAUUCGAAGCAACGCGAAGAACCUUACAGGUCUUGACAUCGUAUGCAUAGCUCAGAGAUGAGUGAAAUCUCUUCGGAGACAUAUAGACAGGUGGUGCAUGGUUGUCGUCAGCUCGUGUCGUGAGAUGUUGGGUUAAGUCCCGCAACGAGCGCAACCCUUACUGUUAGUUGCUACGCAGGAGCACUCUAGCAGGACUGCCGUUGACAAAACGGAGGAAGGUGGGGAUGACGUCAAAUCAUCAUGCCCCUUAUGACCUGGGCCUCACACGUACUACAAUGGCUGUCAACAGAGGGAAGCAAAGCCGCGAGGUGGAGCGAACCCCUAAAAGCAGUCUUAGUUCGGAUUGUAGGCUGCAACCCGCCUACAUGAAGUCGGAAUUGCUAGUAAUCGCAGAUCAGCAUGCUGCGGUGAAUACGUUCCCGGGCCUUGUACACACCGCCCGUCACGCCAUGGGAGUCGGUAACACCCGAAGCCUGUAGUCUAACCGCAAGGAGGACGCAGUCGAAGGUGGGAUUGAUGACUGGGGUGAAGUCGUAACAAGGUA
rnacentral:rRNA from 1 species